rnacentral:rRNA from 1 species
CCUUUUCGGAUGAACUAGCAUGCGAGUCAUUGUAGCAAUACAAGGCAGACGGCUCAGUAACGCGUAGUCAAUCUACCCUAUGGACGGGAAUAACCUCGGGAAACUGAGAAUAAUGCCCGAUAGAACAUUAUACCUGGAACGGUUUAUGUUUCAAAUGAUUUAUCGCCGUAGGAUGGGACUGCGGCCUAUCAGUUUGUUGGUGAGGUAAUGGCCCACCAAGACUAUUACAGGUACGGGCUCUGAGAGGAGUAGCCCGGAGAUGGGUACUGAGACACGGACCCAGGCCCUAUGGGGCGCAGCAGGCGAGAAAACUUUGCAAUGUGCGAAAGCACGACAAGGUUAAUCCGAGUGGUUCCUGCUAAAGGAACCUUUUGUCGGUCCUAGAAACACCGAUGAAUAAGGGGUGGGCAAGUUCUGGUGUCAGCCGCCGCGGUAAAACCAGCACCUCAAGUGGUCAGGAUGAUUAUUGGGCCUAAAGCAUCCGUAGCCGGCUCUGUAAGUUUUCGGUUAAAUCUGUACGCUUAACGUACAGGCUGCCGGGAAUACUGCAUAGCUAGGGAGUGGGAGAGGUAGACGGUACUCGGUAGGAAGGGGUAAAAUCCUUUGAUCUAUUGAUGACCACCUGUGGCGAAGGCGGUCUACCAGAACACGUCCGACGGUGAGGGAUGAAAGCUGGGGGAGCAAACCGGAUUAGAUACCCGGGUAGUCCCAGCUGUAAACUAUGCAAACUCAGUGAUGCAUUGGCUUGAUGCCAAUGCAGUGCUGCAGGGAAGCCGUUAAGUUUGCCGCCUGGGGGAGUACGUACGCAAGUAUGAAACUUAAAGGAAUUGGCGGGGGAGCACCACAAGGGGUGAAGCCUGCGGUUCAAUUGGAGUCAACGCCGGG